GUGCUAAGGUAGCAUAAUCAUUUGCUUCUUAAUUGGUAGCUGGAAUGAACGGUUGAGCUAACUUAAAAGGUGUGUAAAUCUAUACAGGAAUUUAAAGUCAAGGUAAUAAUUCUUUGAUCCAUUAGGGGACGAUAAGACCCUAUAAGCUUAACAAAUAUACAGGUGGCUUUGUUUUUCAAGUUAGUUUGUUUUACUGGGGCGGUUCUUAUAUUUUAACUAUUAAAUUACUUAUGAUCCUAAAUAUAUAGAUGAAACGGGGAAGUUACUUUAGGGAUAACAGCGCAAUAUGUUUGGAGAGGUCUUAUCGAUAAAUAUGUUUGCGACCUCGAUGUUGAAUUA
rnacentral:rRNA from 1 species